UGUUUAUAUUUUGUCAAACCGUAAGAUGGCAUAAAUUAUUCUCAGAGACCACCCUAUUCUCACCGCGGAAGCGAGCCCCGUGAGGUACGACUAUUCUCACCACGCAACCUACUCUUUUUCAUAAUUUUUGUUCAGAACAAAAGACCGUCCAACAGCUUUUGUCUGUCUUUCUCUGCAACGGCAACAUGUGUGCUGCAAGAACCCAUCUGUCUCCAACUCUUAAAACUCUCAAUCUACAUCCCUCACUUUCCACCUCCAAAAUCCUUUCUUUGCCCAUAAAAUCUUUUGCUUUUCCUGGAAAAACUCGUUUACUGAUUGAAGGGGAGAAAUUUAGAGUUUCAAAAGAAGGAUCCGUGCAGCAGCUGGACGAUGACGCGCCUGUGUCUGUUGAGCUUGCUCCUAUCAGUAGCGAGAGCCAGUUCGAUCGGGUCAUUGCGGAGGCUCAACAGCUUGAAGAAUACGUUAUCAUUGUCUGGAUGGCAACAUGGUGCAGAAAAUGGAUGUACCUGAAACCAAAAUUAGAAAAGUUGGCUGCUGAUUACUAUCCACGAUUGCAGUUCUACUAUGUAGAUAUCAACACUGUUCCCCAUAAGCUUGUUGCUCGUGCAGGAGUCACGAAUGUGAUUGACUCUUAAUUCUCCUUUUUAUGUGUCUCUCACGAUCAACACGGGAAUCCAUUUAGAAAAUGCCACUUAUUCAGCUAUGGAAGGAUUGCAAGAAACAGGAUGAACUGAUUGGUGUCCAUAAAGCAUACUUAGUUGUAAAUGAGGUUCGCCAAAUGAUCGAAAACCAGAGUAACUUAUGAUUAAUGGUAUGAAUGACAUUUUAACCCUCUUAAGCUUCUACCUCAUCUGUUUUUCGGUUCCGAUUUUUUCAAAAUCUUUCUUUUGUAAUUUCUUUCCGUUAUAAAAGAAUCAAAAGGGCUUACUGCACAACUGAACUGGAAUUUGUUUCUGUCAAAUUCUCUGCUCUAUACCAUUUCAUUUUACUAUGUAAAACACAAAAGGAAAAGAAAAUUUUAUUCAGAAUA